GACGAACGCUGGCGGCGUGCCUAAUACAUGCAAGUAGAACGCUGAAGGAGGAGCUUGCUUCUCUGGAUGAGUUGCGAACGGGUGAGUAACGCGUAGGUAACCUGCCUGGUAGCGGGGGAUAACUAUUGGAAACGAUAGCUAAUACCGCAUAAGAGUAGAUGUUGCAUGACAUUUGCUUAAAAGGUGCAAUUGCAUCACUACCAGAUGGACCUGCGUUGUAUUAGCUAGUUGGUGGGGUAACGGCUCACCAAGGCGACGAUACAUAGCCGACCUGAGAGGGGGAUCCGCCACAACUGGACUGGGACACGGCCCAGACUCCUACGGGAGGCAGCAGGAGGGAAUCUUCGGCAAUUGACGGAAGUCUGACCGGGCAACGCCGCGGGAGGGAAGAAGGUUUUCGGAUCGGAAAGCUCUGUUGUAAGGGAAGAACGAGUUUGAGAGGGGAAAGUGCACACUGUGACGGUAUCUUACCAGAAAGAGACGGCUAACUACGUG
rnacentral:rRNA from 1 species